ensembl:lncRNA
ACAAGUUAUUAGGCUACAUACUGUAUGCACAAGGUUAUUAGGCUACAUACUGUAGGCUACAAGGUUAGUAGGCUUCAAGGUUACAUACUGUAGGUUAUUAGGAUACAUCUGUAUUUACUAGGUUACAUACUGUAGGUUAUUAGGGUACUACUGUGGUUACUAGUUACAUCACUAUAGUCUACAAGCUACUAGGGUAUUAGGCUACAAGGUAUUAGGCUACAUACUGUAUGCUACAAGGUUAUUAGGCUACAUACUGUAGGUUACUAGGUUAUUAGGCUACAAUGUUAUUAGGCUACAUACUGUAGGUUACUAGGUUAUUAGGCUACAAUGUUAUUAGGCUACAUACUGUAUGUUACGAGGUUAUUAGGCUACAAGGUUAUUAGGCUACAUACUGUAGGUUACAAGGUUAUUAGGCUACAUACUGUAGGUUACAAGGUUAUUAGGCUACAUACUGUUGUUACGAGGUUUAUUAGGCUACAAUGUUAUUAGGCUACAUACUGUAGGUUACAAGGUUAUUAGGUUACAAGGUUAUUA